AUUGAACGCUGGCGGCAUGCCUUACACAUGCAAGUUGAACGGCAGCACGGGGCAACCUGGUGGCGAGUGGCGAACGGGUGAGUAAUAUAUCGGAACGUACCUUUCAGUGGGGGAUAACGUAGCGAAAGUUACGCUAAUACCGCAUAUUCUGUGAGCAGGAAAGCAGGGGAUCGCAAGACCUUGCGCUGAUUGAGCGGCCGAUAGCAGAUUAGCUAGUUGGUGGGGUAAAGGCCUACCAAGGCGACGAUCUGUAGCGGGUCUGAGAGGAUGAUCCGCCACACUGGGACUGAGACACGGCCCAGACUCCUACGGGAGGCAGCAGUGGGGAAUUUUGGACAAUGGGGGCAACCCUGAUCCAGCCAUGCCGCGUGAGUGAAGAAGGCCUUCGGGUUGUAAAGCUCUUUCGGCCGGGAAGAAAUCGCAUAGGUUAAUACCCUGUGUGGAUGACGGUACCGGAAUAAGAAGCACCGGCUAACUACGUGCCAGCCGCCGCAGUAA
rnacentral:rRNA from 1 species